rnacentral:tRNA from 1 species
UGUCCAGAGAUUGGAAUCAAACCCACAGUGUUCCGCUUACAGGGUAGAUGCCAUGUUCACUAGGCUACCAUGGAC